GAUGAAGAACGUAGCGAAAUGCGAUAAGUAAUGUGAAUUGCAGAAUUCAGUGAAUCAUCGAAUCUUUGAACGCACAUUGCGCCCGCCAGUAUUCUGGCGGGCAUGCCUGUUCGAGCGUCAUUUCAACCAUCAAGCCCCCGGGCUUGUGUUGGGGACCUGCGGCUGCCGCAGGCCCUGAAAAGCAGUGGCGGGCUCGCUGUCACACCGAGCGUAGUAGAUUUUAUCUCGCUCUGGGCGUGCUGCGGGUUCCGGCCGUUAAACCACCCUUUUAACCCAAGGUUGACCUCGGAUCAGGUAGGAAGACCCGCUGAACUUAAGCAUAUCAAUAAGCGGAGGA
rnacentral:misc_RNA from 1 species